AUUGAACGCUGGCGGCAGGCCUAACACAUGCAAGUCGAGCGGGGUUUUCGGACCUAGCGGCGGACGGGUGAGUAAUGCGUAGGAAGCUACCCGAUAGAGGGGGAUACCAGUUGGAAACGACUGUUAAUACCGCAUAAUGUCUACGGACCAAAGUGUGGGACCUUCGGGCCACAUGCUAUCGGAUGCGCCUACGUGGGAUUAGCUAGUUGGUGGGGUAACGGCUCACCAAGGCGACGAUCCCUAGCUGGUUUGAGAGGAUGAUCAGCCACACUGGAACUGAGACACGGUCCAGACUCCUACGGGAGGCAGCAGUGGGGAAUAUUGGACAAUGGGCGCAAGCCUGAUCCAGCCAUGCCGCGUGUGUGAAGAAGGCCUUCGGGUUGUAAAGCACUUUCAGCGAGGAGGAAGGGUUAGUAGUUAAUAGCUGCUAAUUUUGACGUUACUCGCAGAAGAAGCACCGGCUAACUCUGUGCCAGCCGCCGCGGUAACAC
rnacentral:rRNA from 1 species